rnacentral:rRNA from 1 species
GAUGACGGGAGCUUGCUCCCGAAUUCAGCGGCGGACGGGUGAGUAAUGCCUAGGAAUCUGCCUGGUAGUGGGGGACAACGUCUCGAAAGGGACGCUAAUACCGCAUACGUCCUACGGGAGAAAGCAGGGGACCUUCGGGCCUUGCGCUAUCAGAUGAGCCUAGGUCGGAUUAGCUAGUUGGUGAGGUAAUGGCUCACCAAGGCGACGAUCCGUAACUGGUCUGAGAGGAUGAUCAGUCACACUGGAACUGAGACACGGUCCAGACUCCUACGGGAGGCAGCAGUGGGGAAUAUUGGACAAUGGGCGAAAGCCUGAUCCAGCCAUGCCGCGUGUGUGAAGAAGGUCUUCGGAUUGUAAAGCACUUUAAGUUGGGAGGAAGGGCAGUAAAUUAAUACUUUGNUGUUUUGACGUUACCGACAGAAUAAGCACCGGCUAACUCUGUGCCAGCAGCCGCGGUAAUACAGAGGGUGCAAGCGUUAAUCGGAAUUACUGGGCGUAAAGCGCGCGUAGGUGGUUUGUUAAGUUGGAUGUGAAAGCCCCGGGCUCAACCUGGGAACUGCAUUCAAAACUGACAAGCUAGAGUAUGGUAGAGGGUGGUGGAAUUUCCUGUGUAGCGGUGAAAUGCGUAGAUAUAGGAAGGAACACCAGUGGCGAAGGCGACCACCUGGA